AGUAACGCGUGGGUAACCUGCCUCAUACAGGGGGAUAACAGUUAGAAAUGACUGCUAAUACCGCAUAAGCGCACAGUGCUGCAUGGCACAGUGUGAAAAACUCCGGUGGUAUGAGAUGGACCCGCGUCUGAUUAGCUAGUUGGUGGGGUAACGGCCUACCAAGGCGACGAUCAGUAGCCGCCUGAGAGGGUGACGGCCACAUUGGGACUGAGACACGGCCCAA
rnacentral:rRNA from 1 species